ensembl:lncRNA
CCCACCUCCCCAGGUUACCGGCGCUCUAGGGUCGCGCUUCGCCCUCGGAGUCGCCCGGGAUAAUGACAGCUAGUGAGUGCGUGCACUGCCUUCUCACUGCCAAGCCUGGCCUUAAAUGCCCUCUCAACUUUUAAAAGUUGUUUCUUCAAAGUGCAUUCACGGCCUAACCCUCCUUUGAGUGCCAGUUCGGUGGCAGACCUUAGAGUAAAUCCAGGAGACCCAGAAUAAGGGAAACUGGGUCCCCCUCAGUCUGGAGUGAAAGAAGUGCUUUCAUAGAAAGGCCCUGCAAAGGAGCCAUUUAUUCUUCCUGUGGGAAGGCUAGGAGGGAUUGGGGAAGCCCCAUGGAGGAGGGGCCUUCAUGCUCGGCCGGCCCGAAAAGGGAGUAGGAGUUCUCCAGCCACAGGGCUGGUAGCCUGGACUGCAAGGCAGACAGGGCUGAAGCCCCUGGAAAAACCUGAGCUGGGCUCCAGUUUUGCAGUCAAAACUGUGGAAGCAUGCACACUUACACACACACACGCACACACACCCUCCCUGGUUCUUUGUACAAUGAGGCUACUACCUGUUAGACUACUUAUUUCAUCUUUUCUGAACGUUUGCCUAUCAAACUGGUGACUGGCUGGCCAGGCCACUACCUCUGACAUCUGCAAGGCACCCACCUCUUCUUGGCUUCUGUCUACUUCUGAGGUCUGUAGUGAUCCCACUUGUGCCUGAGUCUCCUUUUCUUUCCUAAACAUAACCUUUUGUAAAAUUAACAAUGUUGGUGGAGCAAAGUGGUCCACACCUGGAAUCCUAGCAUUCAGGAGGCUGAAACAGCAGGAUCGGGAGUUUGAGGCCAGCCUGGACAGUUUAGCAGGAUCCUGAUUCAAAAAAAAAAAGGUCGAGCACCAUGGCAGGGGUUCACAGUGGACCAAAGCUGCUUCCCUCAUGCCAGCCAGCAAGCAAAAGGAGUGGAAGCCACCAACAACCCAGUCGUUCCUCCCAGGACCUGCUGAUAUGACCUGAUUUCCUCCAACUAGUGGCGCCAUUAGCUGGGAACCAAACCUUCAAUACGUAUUGGGUAUUGUGUCUCAACAACAAGAAAGUGACCAAGACAGUGAUGUCUGUUAACUGAGCCUGCAGUCUUUUGGAGCUGAAAUUACUUAUCUACACAGAAGUCUUCUCCACCCAGACAUGGAGUCUAUGGAGUGCUCUGCCAUCUCUCAGAAACUUG